rnacentral:rRNA from 1 species
UACGUAGGGGGCAAGCGUUGUCCGGAUUUAUUGGGCGUAAAGAGCGUGUAGGCGGCCAGGUAGGUCCGUUGUGAAAACUGGAGGCUUAACCUCCAGCUGUCGAUGGAAACCAUCUGGCUAGAGUCCGGAAGAGGAGAGUGGAAUUCCUGGUGUAGCGGUGAAAUGCGCAGAUAUCAGGAAGAACACCCGUGGCGAAGGCGGCUCUCUGGGACGGUACUGACGCUGAGGCGCGAAAGCUAGGGGAGCAAACGGG